AUUAGAUACCCCACUAUGCCCAAGCCUUAAUAAGACACACGUCCACCAGAAGAUUACGAGCGAAAGCCUAAAACUCAAAAGACUUGACGGUGCCCCAACCUACCUAGAGGAGCCUGUUACAUAAUCGACAAUCCACGAUUAACCCUACCACCCAUUGAAACAUCAGCCUAUAUACCGCCGUCGCUCAGCCUGCCUUCCAAAAGAAGCUUAAAGCAGGCCAAAUAGUCUCCCACUAAAAAGUCAGGUCAAGGUGUAGCUAAUGGGGUGGAGCCAAUGGGCUACAUUUUCUAAAAUAGAACACACGAACUAGUAGAUGAAACCAAACUAUAAAGGCGGAUUUAGCAGUAAGCCAAAUAAGAAUACUUGACUUAACACAGCUCUGGGACACGUACACACCGCCCGUCACCCU
rnacentral:rRNA from 1 species